AUUGAACGCUGGCGGAAUGCUUUACACAUGCAAGUCGAACGGCAGCACGGGGGCAGCCCUGGUGGCGAGUGGCGAACGGGUGAGUAAUACAUCGGAACGUGCCCGGUCGUGGGGGAUAACGUAGCGAAAGUUACGCUAAUACCGCAUACGAUCUGAGGAUGAAAGCGGGGGACCUUCGGGCCUCGCGCGAUCGGAGCGGCCGAUGUCAGAUUAGGUAGUUGGUGGGGUAAAGGCCUACCAAGCCGACGAUCUGUAGCUGGUCUGAGAGGACGACCAGCCACACUGGGACUGAGACACGGCCCAGACUCCUACGGGAGGCAGCAGUGGGGAAUUUUGGACAAUGGGCGCAAGCCUGAUCCAGCCAUUCCGCGUGCAGGACGAAGGCCUUCGGGUUGUAAACUGCUUUUGUACGGAACGAAAAGGCUCUGGCUAAUACCUGGGGCUCAUGACGGUACCGUAAGAAUAAGUACCGGCUAACUACGUGC
rnacentral:rRNA from 1 species